CAGGACUGGAAUACCGCAGUGACAGAGCUGGUGGGACGUGGAGCUUCAUCUACAGUGAUGGAGAGCUAAACAGAACAUGGACAGACGUCUUCUACAAAGAGAAAAGCUGCUGCAAUAAUCUGCAACAAGGGUGGAAUGACAGAGUCUUCACCGACAAUGGAGGGUCUCAGUGAUGAUGAUUCAUUCGUACCUUCCUGUGAGGAAGUAGAGGUCCCUCCAUCAGCACCAUGUUCUGCCUGCAAGGAUCCCUGUCAACAGACUGAUACAGGUGAUAAAG